CCUCUCCCCCGCGGCCCGCGCUCAUAUCCCUGUCGGCCAUUUUGUAUCAGAUUACCGCGGCCGCCGGGCCAGUAGUACAUUUUUACAGAAAAAUACAAUUAUAGGGACUAGGAGGUUGUAAAAUGUAUACAUAAAUAACUUGUUUUGGCUGUUAAGCGUAUCUUUAGGCACGUAAAAAGUAAGUAAAUCGCUCUAGAAAUCUGAAGAAUGCUUACUCGGCAAAACCAUCAGUUGGGUUUGGAGAAGAAAUUUCAACGAAGACGUCUUGUGAGAACUUGAAGACAUGAGUAGACGAAAGUGCCUGGCAAAUCCCACUGAUGUGCUUUGUGCGUCUGAACAGAAACCACUGCAGUGAGGCUUGACAUGAUUAUUCCUCAUUCAUUGCCUGCCAGCCUGCCACCCUGCCCAGCCCUCACCCAAAAACAUCACAAGAUGAAGGUGAUCAGUUGCAGCAUUUGCAUAGUAUGAAGGAGUAACGCAACCAAGUGAUCAAUGUAUUCAAAAAGAGUAGAUGAGAGUGCCUGGCAAAUCCCACUGAUGUGCUUUGUGCGUCUGAACAGAAACCACUGCAGUGAGGCUUGACAUGGUUAUCCCUCAUUCAUUGCCUGGUAAUACAGUGGAGAAACGUUGUAAGACUGUCUGCCAGCCUGCCACUCUGCCCAGCCCUCACCCAAAGCAAUCACAAGAUCAAGAAUGAGCUCCUGCUGUUGACGGACAUCCACCAGGCUGUGCAGUGACUGCUGACCAAUAAGGGUUGAAAGGACGGGUAGAGGAGUGGAGGUGGACAUGGAGCCCUUUGUGUUCGACUUCGAAAUACAAGAGGACAUGGAGGACUUCUCGAAGGACUGCCAGGCCGUACUGGCAACAUGUGCCCACCCUAACACUCACACUUUCCCUAAAGUUUUGGUAUCAAGGUCUGUGUCUGGCAGUGCAAUGAACUUGCGCACACCUAGUGGUGUUGCGGUAAGCAACCACUUGGCCAACUGAAACAAAGAUGCGAGGCGAAUUAAUUGUUAUUACCAAAAUAUUGUCAGCAUUUCAGUGCAACAGUGUUUAGAUAAGUACCUAAUAAGCUAGUUGAGCCUGUGGGUUUGUAUUCGAUUUACAACGGCUAACACUCAUAAACAAACAAACACACACCCAGCCACACACACACACACUCCCAACAUUUCCUUUGACUCUCCCACACACUCCAAAACAACUCCAGUUGAGAAAAUGUUCUUUUCUAAUCUCACCAUUACGGUCUUCCUGGAUGAUAUCAGAAUAACAGCCACUCUUGGAAAUGUGUAGUAAAUGUUUUAUUUAUGUACACGUUUAUACUUCAGUUGUUUUCAUUUAGUAUUGUGUUUGCUUUCUUAUCUUAACAAAUAAGAUGCUUCAGAGGCUGAGAGUGCACAUAGUUAAAUGUCUGCACAUAUGUAAUUAUUCAUAUUUUAAUUAAAAGUUUAUUUUUGUGUUUUUUUUGUUUUGUUUGAUUGUCCUGGUCCGUCUUUGGUGGAUUUAAAACUGUGUUUGUCUAAUAAACAAAUUUGAUUUAAUUGAACCAAUUGAAAACAUAGGCUACUUUGGCCUUCCCUUGUCUUUUCCAUUUGGCUAAGUCUUUAAACAGUAAUAUCUGCUAGAAGUAGACCUAUCUACCGGGAGUUGUGGAUGUUUGGGCGCCCUUUGUUAUCAUGACAAGUUUAAAUCAAAGAAAGAUGCAUUUUAUGUUUAUAUUUGGGUUAUCUUAGUUUAACAUGCAGCCUAUGUGAUUAAUCAAAGGUAAGUGCAACAAUACUCAUUAUUUCAAGGUUCUUUGCCGUGAAUUUUAAAGACUGAACAUUGUAGGACU